GAGGAGGGAAGACACCUACUCAGUUGGGUCCCUUAGAAAGAGCUAACCUCAAUCACAACCCCUUUCAGAUUCACCAAUGUUCCAGUCGACGAAGUCCUACAAGUCAACAGAAAUAAGCUCCAAUGAUGACACACUGGCUGAAUGGUCUGUCUUGCAGGUUGAAGUCAUCAUGGAUAUUCUGGAGUUUUGCCUGAGAACCAUAUUUUCAGGUGGAUGACAAGUUCUUCCAACAGAAAAAUGGCAAGGCUAUGGGAAGCUCUCUAUCACCCACUGUGAGCAACAUCUUCAUGGGGCAUUUUGAGAAACUGACUCUGGACUUGGCACAACAUAAACCAUCAUUAUGGCUCUGGGUUAAAAACUUCAUCAAACCACUCAGUGAAGAACUGCCAAGUUACCCAGGAUUUAGGAUUUGACCUCCACAUUACACUAAGCCUGUUUUUGUGCACAGUGCUUUCCUUAAUAGCCCUGGAGUCUUCUUUCUUUCGUCAAUGUAACGCAUGCAUUGAAAAUGCAGGGCGCCAAUUCCAACUUCUACUCCAGCAGGAUGAUAUAAGUGUCUGUCACAGUAAAAAGAGGUCCAAAAUAUUGUGACAUGAUGGCUGAAAGCAGGAAUACUGGAAAAGGCGUCCUAAGCUAAGUAAUGGUGCUGUAAACAUGUUACAGCAGAUAGUAGAAACAGAAAAGAUGGCUGUUGCUAUGCAAUGGCUUGGUAAACACGUUUCCUUGGAAACUGAUGUGAACGUGCAACACUAGAAAAGCUGUUGGAAGAGAAGUUCUCUGUGCAGUCUGCACUGAGACUGUACAAGAUGUAAUUCAAGCUUUCAAGCAGUUGAGAUGGUGAGUGGGUCUGCAGGCAUUCAGUACUAGCCAGUGGUGAACACACAACAGCCAGGGACUGUGGCCAUGAAGUUGCAUUGUGAAAAAGCUGCCAGCCAGAAAGGACAGGAACUUCUGAACAUGGAAGCAGAGGAAUCCACAGUGUCAGGAGCUGCCACCAAGCGAUGCCUAGUUAAGACAUGGUAGACUGAGAAGACUUAGUGCAUGCUGUAGUUUUUUGUUAAGUGUACAGAUCUGUAAAACUGUUAUUGUUACUUGUAGUUAUGAUCUGUAAGUGUUCAAUAAACCCAA